rnacentral:lncRNA from 1 species
UGCACUCCAUAGAAUCUCUCUAAAGAAGGUGCUUCAUUGCUAGCUGAUGCUUUGCUGAGUUUGUUGAAAUGAAAAGAGGUCACCUACCCAACCUGACAUCCAUGAAUCAAGACUCAGCAUUCAGGAGCAAGUUUGUGGCUGACUUCACCGAUAAUACUCUACACACUGUGGCUGGCUACUCGGCAGUCAGAGCAAUAUUGAGGACUAUAAAGGAAUUUGAAAAUCAUCUUGCCUCAACCCUACCGGAAUACAGUGAGGGUGAGGCUGUGAUUGGAUUGGCAUUGCAGUCCGGGUCUCCUAUCCCAGAGAUGAGAACAAAUACUUUACAAAAAGAGACCAAUCUAAAUAGCUAUAAAAGCAAUGUGUGCCUUAUAAGGCCAAUGUGAUACCAAAUUUAGAGAGUGCAGCCUUAGAAGAAGAUACAGUUACAAAGAGAAGGAAAUAACUCCUCAUCGGAAGAAAACAAGGAAAUAGCAUGCACAGGUGAAACAUUCUAAGCAGACUGGUCUUCCCAGUGAGAUGUUGAAACUCAUUAAGGUAAUGUAACAAAAUAUAUCACAGUCAGGUUAGAUUAAGUUAUAAAAUAAGGCUUAAUGUAUUGACUGUUUGCACUAGGUGAAUCAUCACUACUAAAGCAAAUACUUCUUAGUAAUUACCGCCUAUUAAAUCUGACACAUUACCAGAAAAGAAGUCUCUGGUAUCCACAUGAAUUAUGCUGGGAGAAUCUGGUGAUAAAGCAGGUAGAUAAUAUUUGGUACCUAAAAAUAUUUUAAUAGAAACAAAUUAAUACUUACAGGGGUACAUAAGAAAGCAAACAAACUUCCAGUAGGAAAAAAACCCCUCUCAAAUAAGUGUCUCUCUAACGCCCGUUCACAACUGGUGCCACAUAUAAGUAUGGUACUUGUUAAGCAUUUUGCUAUAUUCCAAGCUCUGUUCUAAGUGCUGGGAUAGAUACAAGAUAAUUAGGGCAGACACAGUCCCUUUCCCCCAUAGGGGCCACAGUCUAAGUAGGAAGGAGUAGAAUUCCCAAUUUCCGGGUGAGAAAACUGAGACACAGA